rnacentral:rRNA from 1 species
UCAAGCUGAAAAGAGCGCAAGGGGAAUGCCUUGGCAUCAGGAGCCGACGAAGGACGUGACAAGCUGCGAUAAGCCACGGGGAGGAGCAAAUAUCCGCUAUAUCCGUGGAUUUCCGAAUGGGGGAACCCGCUCAAGCAAUACUUGAGCAUCGUGCGUUGAAUCAAAUAGGCGUACGAAGGGAACGGCCUGAACUGAAACAUCUAAGUAGGGCCAGGAAAAGACAUCAACCGAGAUUCCGCUAGUAGUGGCGAGCGAACGCGGAGGAGGCCAAACCGAGGGACGCAAGUUCUUCGGGGUUGCGGACAGACAUCAUGACCAGAGGUAAUUAAGAGAACGGCGUGGGAAAGCCGGCCACAGAAGGUGAGAGCCCUGUAUCUGAAAAUGAAGACUGGCAGUCUGGAUCCAGAGUACCGCGGGACACGUGAAACCCCGUGGGAAACCGGGUGGACCACCAUCCAAGCCUAAAUACUACCUGAUGACCGAUAGAGGAGCAGUACCGUGAGGGAAAGGUGAAAAGGACCCCGGGAGGGGAGUGAAAGAGAACCUGAAACCUUGUGCUUACAAGCAGUCAAAGCACGUUAAGGUGUGAUGACGUACUUUUUGUAGAACGGUCCGGCGAGUUAUAGUAACGAGCAAGCUUAAGGUAUUGAGUACCGGAGGCGAAGCGAGAGCGAGUCUGAAUAGGGCGUAAAGUUCGUUGCCAUAGACCCGAAACCGGGUGACCUAUCCAUGAGCAGGCUGAAGUGAGAGUAAAAUCUCAUGGAGGGCCGAACCGACCCCCGUUGCAAUGGUGGCGGAUGACUUGUGGAUAGCGGAGAAAUUCCAAUCGAACUCGGAGAUAGCUGGUUCUCCCCGAAAUAGCUUUAGGGCUAGCGUUAUUUUAGAUUACCGGAGGUAAAGCACUGAAUGGUCUAGGGGCCGCGAGGUUACCAAAGCCUAUCAAACUCUGAAUGCCGGAUAAUUGAUGAAUAGCAGUCAGACUGUGUGAGAUAAGUCUCAUAGUCAAAAGGGAAACAGCCCAGAUCUACAGCUAAGGUCCCAAAUGAACACUAAGUGGAAAAUGAUGUGAAACUGCGAAGACAACCAGGAUGUUGGCUUAGAAGCAGCCACUCAUUCAAAGAGUGCGUAAUAGCUCACUGGUCGAGUGGUUUUGCGCAGAAAAUGUAACGGGGCUAAGUGUUCAACCGAAGCUUAGGCAUUGCAGUAAUGCAUUGGGUAGGGGAGCGUCGUAUGCGGGGCGAAGUCAGAGCGGAAGCACUGGUGGACUGCAUACGAGUGAGAAUGCCGGAAUAAGUAGCGAGAAUUAUGUGAGAAUCAUAAUGGCCGAAAAUCUAAGGUUUCCUGGGGAAGGUUCGUCCGCCCAGGGUUAGUCGGGAGCUAAGCUCAGGCCGAAAGGCGUAGGCGAUGCACAUACGGUAGAAAUUCCGUAACCACCGAACUUUAAGCUAGAGGGACGCUUUCUUUAAGGUUAUCCCGGGCGAUGGUUGCCCCGGGCGUAAGGGACCGAAAUUUAGUAGGGAAGUAACUGGCGAGAGAGACGAGAAAAGCUCUAGUGUAUACUAAGGUGCCCGUACCGCAAACCGACACAGGUAGAAGGGAUGAGUAUUCUAAGGCCAACGGGAGAAGGGUUGUUAAGGAACUCGGCAAAUUGGCCCCGUAACUUCGGGAUAAGGGGCGCCUGCGAGAGCAGGCCGCAGUGAAAAGGCCCAAGCGACUGUUUAGCAAAAACACAGCUCUCUGCUAAAUCGAAAGAUGACGUAUAGGGGGUGACGCCUGCCCGGUGCUGGAAGGUUAAGGGGAGUGCUUAGCGCAAGCGAAGGUGCGAACUUAAGCCCCAGUAAACGGCGGCCGUAACUAUAACGGUCCUAAGGUAGCGAAAUUCCUUGUCAGGUAAGUUCUG